UACGGGGGGGGUAAGCGUUGUUCGGAAUUACUGGGCGUAAAGGGCUCGUAGGUGGCCAACUAAGUCAGACGUGAAAUCCCUCGGCUUAACCGGGGAACUGCGUCUGAUACUGGAUGGCUUGAGUUUGGGAGAGGGACGCGGAAUUCCUGGUGUAGCGGUGAGAUGCGCAGAUAUCAGGAGGAACACCAAUGGCGAAGGCAGCACUCUGGGACGUGACUGACGCUGAGACGCGAAAGCGUGGGGAGCAAACAGG
rnacentral:rRNA from 1 species